AUGUAUUUGUCAAGUGCAGUCGUCUGAUGGUUUUGCUGUAAACAUUUAUUAUUUUAAGGUAAAUAAUAAUUACGGUCCCAACAAGACGUAUUGUUGUGAACUGGAAAAACACUAAAAGAAUAGUAACUGCAAAUUCUACAGAUUUCCAAAAGUAUGGUGGCCACAAGAACAGAGAAAUAAGUGAAUUGCCUUUUAAGAAUAAAAAGCAACCAACCAUUUGAAAAAUUAACAAUGUGCAGACAUCAAGUUUUUGGUGCCAGAAUAUCUGACUUGAAAGCUGUGGAAAAUAGUUCUUAUAAUUAUUUAUUUGGUCAUGACUGGAGACUUAUGUUAUCAUGUACCUACACGCACACGAUUACCUAAGAGAACUUAUACCUACUCGUAACUGAAAUUCGGCUAGUUGACACGUAGAUUUUAUACAAUAAAAAUAUACUCGUAUGUA